rnacentral:rRNA from 1 species
AUGAACGCUGGCGGCGUGCCUAAUACAUGCAAGUCGAGCGAACAGACGAGGAGCUUGCUCCUCUGACGUUAGCGGCGGACGGGUGAGUAACACGUGGAUAACCUACCUAUAAGACUGGGAUAACUUCGGGAAACCGGAGCUAAUACCGGAUAAUAUAUUGAACCGCAUGGAUCAAUAGUGAAAGACGGUUUUGCUGUCACUUAUAGAUGGAUCCGCGCCGCAUUAGCUAGUUGGUAAGGUAACGGCUUACCAAGGCAACGAUGCGUAGCCGACCUGAGAGGGUGAUCGGCCACACUGGAACUGAGACACGGUCUAGACUCCUACGGGAGGCAGCAGUAGGGAAUCUUGCGCAAUGGGCGAAAGCCUGACGGAGCAACGCCGCGUGAGUGAUGAAGGUCUUCGGAUCGUAAAGCUCUGUUAUUAGGGAAGAACAAAUGUGUAAGUAACUAUGCACGUCUUGACGGUACCUAAUCAGAAAGCCACGGCUAACUACGUG